GAGAGCAUAAACAAACCGCGGAGAAGGAGCGGAUCCACCUCCGGAGGGGCUGCCCGGGCAACCGGCUGGUGCCGGGCGGAAACGCUCAAAGUUGUUCUUGCGCUUCAGAGCCGCGCUAACAGCGGGGCAGCCGUGCUGCGCAACGAGAUGCGGCGGGCGCGUGUGUGUGCGCGAGCAGGGGUAUAAGUGGAUAAAGCUGGGACUACAAUGUGGAAGAUCAGUGAGACACUAGCAACAAGGCUUUGCUCUGAGGGAGGUGGUCAGUAGUAGUGGCAUAUUUUGUAAACUUGCCCCUCAGUUCUCUCCAGGAGACAACAGUCUCUCUUGCCAGCUCCAUGGGACUAAGGUAGGCUUUCUGUCUCUUUUUUUUCCCUAAUUUUUCAGCUGUUUUUUUCCCCUGUUAUAAAUUCUGGAAACAGAUCAGCUUUCCAUCUUCGUCUCAAAAAGAAAAUCAAGACAGCAAAUAACUAAAUGACAGUGAAACGUACCAUGAAAGAUUUUUGUACCAUGAAAG
rnacentral:lncRNA from 12 species